rnacentral:misc_RNA from 1 species
GUUGCAUUGUAAUUAUUUUUUGUGAGCUGCUUCAAGAAAAUUUUGAUGAUUUCUGCUUCCAAAUCUGAAAAUUUUGGUCUCUAGGAUGUUUUGAGUUAUUGCAAAGGCCUUUGGAUGAAGAGGUGAGAUUUUUGCCCUGCUUUUUCAAAGACUAGUAGUUGCUGGAUUGCUACUGUUUCAUAAUUCCUUAAUAGGUUUCCCCCUUGCUUAUUCCCAUUGUUUCUACUUUCAAUUUAUUGGUGAAAUUCGAGAUAUAUGUUUG